AGGCUGAGAAGGAAAAAUGCUAAUUGUUAGGAAACCACUCAGCUGGAAAAAUAGCCAAGUCCAUGGAGUCCAUAAUUUUUCAUAUGUGAAGUAAUAAUGAAUUUCUCAUUGAUGUUUUACCUUUUGAAAGCAGCUGGAUCCCUUGAGAAUCAGAAGCUGAGAGCCAGAAUUGGAGUGCUGUGAAUGCACAUCUCUUGUUAGGACAGUCCCCUUCACAACAGAGUACCUUUCUGUCUUAGGAAAUGAUCUUUGGAAGUGUCCUGAGAGUGUGUGCAGGUUUGGAACAAAGCCCCAGAGGACCUUUCCCAUGCAGGCAGAGCUCAGCCUUGACUCACUGCUACAGCAAGUCCAAGAGGUCUAAAUCUGGUGUGGACCCAAAAGCUUUUUGCACCAUUCCCCUGCAUGGAAAUGUGCAGGCAUCACCUGAGCAAGGAGGCAAAGCCACCACCACAGCUGGUGCUCCUCUCCCAUGUCCUCAGUGCUUGUCCCCAAGGAGGGAGAAGGGGGCAGAGCCAGUGCUGGCACCAGCCCCAGUGCUGCAGGGAGGCUCUUCCCACGUGGAUAUCCAUCACAACAUGGAGCAGAUGCAUGAGGCAGCCCUGUCCUCAUCUUCCCACCUCCAGAAGAAGUUGUUGCUCUGGAUAAUUUUGUCAAGAGCAUUGGCUACUUUAGUAUUUAGCGUGUGUCUGAGUGUUCUUGAGCAAUGAACCACCCAGAUCUGGGGUGCCACUGGGGAGCCUCUCCAGGAGGGCUCUAUGUUAGGAGCUGGGCAUGGAUGUUCCCCAGUCAACAGCUGAAACCAAAGUGUCACCUCUAGGUUAAAUAUCGUGGUAAAUAAAUAUAUGACUGAAAAUUAUGAUUUCCAAGCUUUUAACUUAAAAAGAUCUGCUUGCUGAUUUUUGUUGUUUUGUCUAUUUAUUUUAAAAUACGAGCUCACCUUGGUGUGAACUUUUU